rnacentral:lncRNA from 1 species
UAUGAUCAGGAACGUUUAGGAUGUGUCUACGAAAGAAUGGUCUCAUGAAUCUAACUUCUUUAAAUCGCAUUCUCCCAAUUACAUAUUCCUUGGACUUAUCGUUUAAGCAUAUAACAUUUAUAUGAGACGGCUUAAAACAAUAAUCUUUGCCCUUUAUAUUAAACUAGAUUAGUUUAACAUGUGAAAUGUCCGUAAAGUAUCAUCAUAUGAUUGGUUUUAGGGCACAUUUCCAACAAUCUCCCACUUGCACUAGAGCCAAUCAGCUUUGUCAUCA